GUGGAUUAGAUACCCGGGUAGUCCUAGCCGUAAACGGUGAGCACUAGGUGUUGGAGGCAUCGACCCCUCCAGUGCCGCAGCUAACGCAUUAAGUGCUCCGCCUGGGGAGUACGGCCGCAAGGUUGAAACUCAAAGGAAUUGACGGGGGCCCGCACAAGCGGUGGAGCAUGUGGUUCAAUUCGACGCGACGCGAAGAACCUUACCCAGGCUUGACAUGCAUUGGACGGGUGUGGAAACACACCUUCCCUUCGGGGCCGGUGCACAGGUGCUGCACGGUUGUCGCCAGCU
rnacentral:rRNA from 1 species